UCCAGACUCCUACGGGAGGCAGCAGUGGGGAAUAUUGCGCAAUGGGGGAAACCCUGAUGCAGCAACGCCGCGUGAGUGAAGAAGUAUUUCGGUAUGUAAAGCUCUAUCAGCAGGGAAGAAAAUGACGGUACCUGAGUAAGAAGCCCCGGCUAACUACGUGCCAGCAGCCGCGGUAAUACGUAGGGGGCAAGCGUUAUCCGGAUUUACUGGGUGUAAAGGGAGCGUAGACGGCGAUGCAAGUCUGAAGUGAAAGCCCGGGGCUCAACCCCGGGACUGCUUUGGAAACUGUAUGGCUGGAGUGCUGGAGAGGCAAGCGGAAUUCCUAGUGUAGCGGUGAAAUGCGUAGAUAUUAGGAGGAACACCAGUGGCGAAGGCGACCUUCUGGACUGUACCUGACGCUGAGGCGCGAAAGCGUGGGUAGCGAACGGGAUUAGAUGCCCCUGUA
rnacentral:rRNA from 1 species